GACGAACGCUGGCGGCGUGCUUAACACAUGCAAGUCGAACGGAAAGGCCCUGCUUUUGUGGGGUGCUCGAGUGGCGAACGGGUGAGUAACACGUGAGUAACCUGCCCUUGACUUUGGGAUAACUUCAGGAAACUGGGGCUAAUACCGGAUAGGAGCUCCUGCUGCAUGGUGGGGGUUGGAAAGUUGCGGCGGUUGGGGCUGGACUCGCGGGUUAUCAGCUUGUUGGUGUGGUAGUGGUUUACCAAGGCUUUGACGGGUAGCCGGCCUGAGAGGGUGACCGGCCACAUGGGGACUGAGAUACGGCCCAGAAUCCUAUGGGAGGCAGCAGUGGGGAAUAUUGCAGAAUGGGCGGAAGCGUGAUGCGGAAACGCCGCGUGCGGGAUGACGGCUUUCGAGUUGUAAACCGAUUUCGCCUGUGACGAAGAGUGAGUGACGGUAAUGGGUAAAGAAGCACCGGCUAACUACGUG
rnacentral:rRNA from 1 species